UUCGCCGCUUCCCCCGACCGGUGUCGGCUGUGUUCCACGUGUGCACGGGAUCGCGCGUUCGUCUCUCGUCUCUGUACCGACGACAAUGACCGCGAGUCGUGCAGCUUUCGUUUCGACAGCGUAGUCCGUGAACGGGUGUCCCGUAGCGACUUUGUCGUGACCGCCUUUGCUUGAUUGACGGACGUCGAGGGCGAAGCAGAGCGAAGAUGCUGCAAUGCGCUGCUUUGCCACAACAAGAGCAACACAGUAGGAUGACUAAAGGACGUAACACUUCUGGACGGGAAUUAUAUGUUGAAGAAUUGUUUUGAAAUGUACAAUAACAAAGAUAUUGGCAUUCUCCUUGCACCAUCAUCUGCGAGCUGCAAAGGGAUGCAGCCAAAGGACGACCUGCGGAAUAUUUGUGCGCUCGAUCGGCGCCGCAAUCUCCCGAGCAAAGUUCACCUUUGCUGAAGAUCCAAGCGUAAGAAACUGAAGCAGCAGACGGCUUCAAGCCAUGAUCUGUGCGAAUCACCUUUAUGGGAGCUGCAAAAAAGAAUAAAAAGUGUAUCCCCAGUG